GUGGGAUCCAGCUGCUAAUUUGGUGCACAUGAUCUAGCCCUCCUGCUAUAAAAGCUCCUUGCUUUCUCUUUUGCUCAGAAACAGAAGUGACGACCAUCAGAACAAAAGUGUCGGUGUUGAGCAUUAAUAAUGGCAUCAUCAUGGGACACCUGGAUGAUUGGAUUCGGCUAUAAUCCAAAGGGCUUCAGUAUUGUCAAACACUUUGAUGAUGAAUACAAUGGAAAUUCAGACCUUGGGGACCUCUUUACUGUGGAAAGUGGAACAUGGUACAAAACGAUCUUACAUGCUGGAGUGUGCUGCGAUGAAGAUGAGAUAAUUCAUUUCACACAAUCAAAUUCUCGAUCAAGUGGCUCUGUAUCAAGUUCCUCUGGAACUGUAAACAAUCUGUGUAGCUCAUCUACCAGCUCUUCCAGCAACUCUUCUAGUUCUUCUUCCAGUCCAUCUUCCAGUUCUUGUCCAGGGAUUGUAAGCAAAGUGAAUGUGAAUGGGUUUUCUGGAGGAUUUAAAUUUGCAAUUUAUAGGAAGAAUGGUGGAAUCCCUGAAUCAUUUAGACAGAAUGUUAAAAAUGCAAUGAGGAAAAAUCCACAAUAUGAUCUUCUUACAUACAACUGUAUUCAUUUCGCCAUGGAGCUUCUUAGUGUACAGGGAAAGGAGGGUCCUUAAACAGUUUCAUCUUUCAGAUAAAAAGCUUCAUGGAAGACGUUGCUGUUGGACAGACAGACAAGCCUCUGAUGAUGGAAGAAGUAGAUUUCAUUCUGUUGUAUAUUUAAUUGAUUUUCUUCAACAAUACUGUACUUUACUCUGAUGUUAAAAAAAAUAAAUAAAUAAAUAAAAAUUGUUCUUCGCUCGAGAAAAGUUUUAAUGUCUGAUUAGACCAAAACAAGUGUGUUAAUACAAUUUUUUUUAGAAAACCCUAGUAUGUAUAGCUGUUUGUAUUAGUCUGUACUGUCUGUAGAUUAUGGAUUGGGAGUUAUUGUUAAUUAAUUACCGUAGUUAAGAACCAGAUGAUUAUUUAGUUUUGUUUAGUCAAGAUUGAGUAACAAGUCAGCUCAUUUUAGCUCAUUUCUGUGACUCUUAAUUAAAAAUCUAAAUCAACAAUCCAUGUUCAAUUCCAUGUAAAAAUCAAUGUAAGAGCCAUUGAUCAAUAAAUAAAAAUGUUUUAAAAAUCAA